rnacentral:lncRNA from 1 species
UCGUUUUGUUACACUUGGUGGAAAAGCUAAAAAGAAUCCAGAGCCGAAUCAAGAGGGCGGGAAUGACAGCCGUAAUAGCGGUGUUGCGCGCCUGACCUGCAUGCAUCACAACCCGCCACUGUGUGGAUGACCUGACUGUAUGUGGGCCUCUCUCAACUCCUCUCCCAGCCCUUCAAAGCCAUCAGUCUGUAGUCUCUUGGGCAUAGCAUGGGAUCUGCAUCCACCGAUCAGUACUUUUCCGAAGUCGUGGUAUAACACAGUCCCUCAAAGCCUCAGGCCCCUCCCCAUCCUCAUCAGCACAAUCAUCAACUGAGGGCAUGUACCACACUAGGUUGCAUCUUGGCACGAAAGGGUGGACAUGGUGGCCAGAUUUUACAGAAGCUCACAAAAACUCCAAAACUACAGGUACUGAGCCUGUGUAUGUAGUCACAUGCGCUUAUCCGUAUGGGUGUGGCAGCCCCAACCACCCCAUGUCCGGCACUGAAUAUUUCUUCCUUUGGCUAUAUUAUCUUUGACCAACAUAGUGGUUGCUUAUAGUUCGGGAGGUCAACUCUACAAAGCCACGGUUCAACAUGUUGGUCUGUAGCUACUGAAAAACCUUAAAGAGGUUUGGUAAGAUUAUUAUGGUUAUGGCUCUAGGGAAUGUUGGUGAGACGCUAUCUCACUGGGACCUAGCAAUCACCGUUACACGUAUUCGGGAGGCCCGCGACCUGCCACCGAUAGCCCCUUGCCUAGGCGUAAACGUGUGAAUCUGAGGUGCUGUUACCGAUAAACAGCAGAGCCUUAUAAAGGCUUGGAAAGCCUAUCCUGAUGGACGAGCUGGCAGUACUCUAGAACCUGCCAGCCGUUGCUCACAGAAGUCUGACGGGCGGCCUUAAACAGGCCACAGCUGUUACUCACGACAGCCUGACACGAUACCUAAACAGGCCACGGGGCGACACGGCAUCCCACGGCAUCAACACGCCCCCUCGAGUUGCACCAGGGGCCUGACUGCAAACUGCUAGUACCGACGAGCUAGCUUGGCCGCCAAGUCCGCGGUCCAGGCCGGAUGCUCAACACUCAGCAGACACAAACACAGCUUGCCAGCCUUCAGCCUGUUGACUAUGCGGUCUGGCACAGCUGCACAAACACACACACGGGAAACAGUGCCGUCUGCACCGUACACACUGCCUACGGCGUCCCUUCAGGCAUUGACCUGCCCAUUCGGGCGCCUGCUCACGCACCCUCGGCACCCCCCUAAAGCCUAGCUCAAAACAACUCCUCAAAGCCUUCAGCACUUCUCCUCUGGCGAUCUAAGUGACGCCCAGCUCUGUGCGGCAGCGCACGAACUUGACCUCGCCCAGUGCCUUGGUUAGGAUGUCAGCCAACAUGUCGUCGGUUGUGCAAUAGCUGAGCGUCACCUCACCACACGCGGCCCUUUCGAUGUGCUUGGAGCGCACCGACGUGAUGGGGUUGUUGCCGAGGCUGAGCGCGCCUUGCGAAUUCAGCUGGAUGUUGACAGCACCCGGGGACAGGUCCAGGUCGCUCGCCAGCUUGUGCAGCCACAAUGCCUCGUGCACGGCUGCUGCUGCGGCCUGGUACUCGGCUUCCACGGACGAGGCAGCCACGGUGCGCUGCAACUGACUGCUCCAGCUGACCGCCGCACCUCUGAGCAAGAAUGUGUAGCCCCUGGUGGACCGGCGGGUGGCUGGGUCGCCGGCCCAGUCUGCAUCGCUGUACCUACCAAAGAUGCUGGCGUUGCUGCCACUGUCGACACAGUAACGUAGACCGAGCAUGCGGGUGCCAGAGAUGUAACGCAGCACACCCAGUGCGAGCCCCAUGUGGGCCUUGGUGGGGGCAGACAUGUGCCGUGCGAGCAUGCUCAGAGCGUGUGCGAUGUCUGGGCAUGUGCUGGUAGCGAGGUAGUUUAGUUCGCCCACCAGCGCGCGGUAGUCACUGCCGUCCGCCAGUGUCGGCUGGGUGUCGCUGGCUGGCAGAACCCGCGUGCCCUGAGGCAGCGGGGUGGCGCGCGGCUUGGCGUUCUCCAGGUGGUGGUGCUGAAGCAGCUGUUCCAUGGAGCGCGGCUGCAUGAGCAUGAUGCUGCGGUUGAGGCGGUCCUGGAUGAUCUCCAUGCCGAGGUAGUAGCGCGCCUCUCCAGGGUCACGUACUGUGAAGCAACUACCUAUGGCUGCCUUGGCGGCCGUGACCAUUUGCAGGUUGUCCGCCGCCAUCAGCAUGUCGUCAGCGUGCACGAGCACAUAAAUUGAGCAAUUGGACCCACACUUGACGAAUAGCACGAGGUCGGACAUAGACGGCUCAUAGCCUAGCUUGCCCAACACCGCCGCCAGUUUCUCAUACCAGCAGCACGGGGCUUGCUUGAGGCCGUAGACGGACUUAAACAGCCGGCACGCCUGCAUCGGGUCGCCGUUGCUGUAACCUGGUGGCUGUCGCAUCCACAGCUCCUCUGCCAGGUCGCCGUUCAAGAAAGCCGUUUUGACGUCCAUCUGAUGGACCGUCAUACCCCUGGCCCCUGCCACAGCCAGAAGUGCCCGCAGGGAGGCGUGGUGGGCGUAGUUUAUGCCCGCGCACUGUUCGAAGCCUUUCACCACCAAGCGCGACUUAUAGCGUACCUCACUGCCAGGCUCCUGUUUGAUCUUGUAAACCCAGCGGCCGUCCAGGAUGCGUGUGCUGGGUGGCGGUGUGCCCAACUUCCGUGUUUUGUUGGAGAGAUGCGACAGGAUCUCGUCAUCCAUCGAGCUCUUCCACUUGUCAGCUUGUGGACUCACCACCCCUUCCUCAUAGUUGCGCGGCUCCUGCGCCACGCUGUUGCCUCCGCCGUCACCACUGCUGUCGGGCAUGUUAUUCUCAGCGCGAUCGGUGCUACCACCAGACACUUUGUCAAGCAGCGGUGGACUACCCGAAUCUCCGCUGCCACCGCUGCUGCUGUUGGCGAGGCUGACCGGGGCCAGCGGCGGGUGAAGGGGUUGCCGUUGACUGCGAGUGUUGGGGUGGAGGAGGGGCACUGGGUUCACUGGGGGCGGGGCGUCCACUGGAGUCGGCGGUGUGGUGGGCGAUGGAGAGCCGCCGACGGGGUCACUGCCGGCGGGGCUGGUGCCGAAGGGGGUGCCCGCCCGUUGAGAUGCCGGGCCACGGUGGUCGUCGUUGAAGGUGACGUCGCUGCUCACGGUCACCUUGCCUCGACGAGGACGCGGUGGGCGGCCGUGCCGCGCUCCGGUCCAAAGUAGGUUCCCGCCUUCGUGCAGGGACCGAGCUUAUCCUGCUGGCUGGCUGGGAUGCGGACAUAGGCCAGGCAGCCGAAGGUGUGCAGGUGGCUGAUGUCGGGGAUGACACCAUGAUAAGCUGCCCACAGUGUGUCCUCCUGGCCCUGAGAGGGGCCCACAUUACGCAGGAGGUUGGUGCAGAGCACAGACUCCGGCCAGUAGCUGUCCGAGAGCGCGGCAUCAUACGGCAUAGCCCGCGAUUGAGCCACUCCGCUGUUCCGUUCUGCUCUGGGGUGUAUGGCGCCGAGUGGGUGUGCGCGGUGCCGUGCUGGCAUAGCCACUGCUCCAGUUGCGUGGCGACAUACUCGCCACCGUUGUCACUAUGCAGUGUGCGUACCCGUGCAUGGUUCAGGUGGCGAGCCUCCAGCUGCAUCACCAUGUCCUGCAGCGCUUCGCCCACUUGGUUCUUGCUGACCAGUGUGUGAACGGUGAACAGACUGGCGGCAUCGUCCAGCAGUGUUAGCAAGUAGCGUGCCCCACCUCGGCCCGUGGCCGGCAUGGGCCCGCACAGGUCAGAGUGCACGACCUCCAGUGUGUGCUGCGGCCGGUUGCCACGGCUGGGGUGGGCUGUUGCUGUAACCUUCGCGGUGACACAGGCCUCGCAGACGGCCUCCGCCGCCUGUCGUAGUGCCGCUGGAGUGACCUGUGAUCCCUGCACCAGCUGCUUGCUGAUCAACUGCUCCAGCGCGCGGUAACCAAGGUGGCCGUACUGGCGGUGCAGGCGCCGGGACUCCCGUUGUCCAGUUGCCCUUUGCCGUUGCUGUCGUGUUCGGUUGGCCUCCGCCGGUGUUACUGCUGGCGGUGCUGCCACCGCGGGUGCUGGGGGCGUCGGUGCAGUUGCAGCAGCUCACGGGUCGUCCUCAACUCUGGCUCCCUGCACCAUCUCACGGGUGACCGCUCCCUGCUAAAUGACUACAUCCCCGCCGGCGCGCCACAGCAGAUUAAGUGGGGCAAUAACCAGCUGGCCGAUGUCGUGGGAACAGGGGAGUAGCACCAGUGGACACGCGUCGGACACUCUGUCCGGCUGCACAACAUGCUACACGUCCCCAGCUCAGGACUCACACUCAUGUCUGUCGACCUUCUCGUGACGCGCGGCUGCUCGACGGGCCGCCGGUUCNNNNNNNNNNNNNNNNNNNNNNNNNNNNNNNNNNNNNNNNNNNNNNNNNNNNNNNNNNNNNNNNNNNNNNNNNNNNNNNNNNNNNNNNNNNNNNNNNAGGGCGCGGUUCUCGCGCGUCACAAGAAGAUCUACAGACAUGAGUGUGAGUCCUGAGCUGGGGACGUGUAGCACGUUGUGCAGCCGGACAGAGUGUCCGUCGCGCGUCCACUGGUGCAACUCCCCUGUUCCCACGACAUCGGCCAGCUGGUUAUUGCCCCACUUAAUCUGCUGUGGCGCGCCAGCGGGGACGUAGUCAUUUAGCAGGGAGCGGUCACCCGUGAGAUGGUGCAGGGAGCCAGAGUCGAGGACGACCCGUGAGCUGCUGCAACUGCACCGACGCCCCCAGCACCCGCGGUGGCAGCACCGCCAGCAGUAACACCGGCGGAACACGACAGCAACGGCAAAGGGCAACUGGACAACGGGAGUCCCGGCGCCACCGAAUGCUCAGUCGCCAAACUCGUGGCAGCACAGCGCCUGCACCGCCAGUACGGCCACCUUGGUUACAGCGCGCUGCAGCAGUUGGCCGGGAUUUAGCAGGGAGCGGUCACCCGUGAGAUGGUGCAGGGAGCCAGAGUCGAGGACGACCCGUGAGCUGCUGCCACUGCCGCCGACGCCCCCAGCACCGUGGCACGGUUCUGGCGUAAGCUUCUUCCGCUGCUGCCUGAGCCGCCGCUGCUGCUUCCGCCUGCAGUGUCGCUGCCGUUGCGGUGGCCGUUGCCGUGUCUAACACGGCCGCGUUCACGUGCCCUGUCGCCCCCGCUGUUACUGACAUUGCCGAUGCCAGUGCCUCCGCCGCCACCGUCAUGAUGGCGGUUGUUGCUGCCACUGCUGCCGGUGCCGGCAUUGCGCGGCUGCUUGAAUGCGUUGCUGCGGUAGAGACCGACGGACUCGUCCGCCAGCUUAAGGGGGCAUUCACGGACGUAGUGACCAGGCUGUCCACAGUAGCGGCAGAUGUUGUUGGCCCCCGGCGGCGCCCGAGGCGCCGGCAGCACCGCGGACUCCACGGGCGGUGCGUCCAGGGCCAACAGCUCCAACCAGGCCGGUCUCGAUUGCUCGGGCUUUUAGGUUGUUCUCCCUCUCCCGCAGCAUGAACACGAGCUGCGGGGUCGUCAAGUUGAGCAGAUACAUCGCGAACUCGACGGUGAUGGCGUACUGGAGAAUGGCGUGACGCAUUGCGCUCUCGUCCCACUGGCCGCCUGCCGAGAUUAAAUGCUACGUCGUCUCCCUAUCGCCCAUGCUCAGCUGCUUCUGCGGGUCCAACAGGCUCAGCCGGGCCUGUGACGCAGAACGGAACUGUUGCUGCAAUAGCUGCAUGGCCGCGAGAGUAGUCUGACAAUUCCUGAGCAACUGCUUUACGGGCAGUUCACAGGACAGACGGAGGUAGCCGAGCGCCUGUGCGUCUUCCUCCAGGGCGUCUUGUGCGUUGCGACCCGGAGGCGCCGGGUUGGUGAUGUAGCUCAUUAACUUGGACGUGGCGAGGAAAUCGCCGAAGUCUCCGAGCCACUGGGAGUAAUUCGAUCCGUCCGAGAGGAGGACGGUCUUACAUCCCUUCCCCAUGAUGGUUGCCUAGCGAGCCUGACUGCUCUAGCUGAAGCAACUACAGAUAGUAACCGCCGGGAACCGUUACCCGGGGCUCAUAACCUGUUGGUGAGACGCUAUCUCACUGGGACCUAGCAGACACGACUAAGAGUGAUUGGCCGUUACACGUAUUCGGGAGGUCCGCGAUAGCCGUAAACGUGUGAAUCUGAGGUGCUGUUACCGAUGAACAGCAGGGCCUUAUAAAGGCUUGGAGAUGGACGAGCUGGCAGUACUCUAGAACCUGCCAGCCGUUGCUCACAGAAGUCUGACGGGCGGCCUUAAACAGGCCACAGCUGUUACUCACGACAGCCUGACAUGAUACCUAAACAGGCCACGGGGCGACACGGCAUCCCUUCGCAUCAACAGGGAAGACCCACACGUGGGGUUAGUGCCUCCCGCCCCUGGACACUGAAAACCGGACGACCGAUCACACAUGUGCCUUACACAGGGCAAUGUUCAGCGGGCCACGUUUCCGUCAAAGCGAAGGUUUCUCCCACAGUGUAUUACGCGAAUAUCUGGAAGUUUCCAACCCCUGGGUUUACCUUUCUGAGUCGAAUUAGUCAGGUUUCACAUGGCAGCAUAUCCGUAUCCAAAUUGUGGGUCCGACUAUUUGACAGCUAACGGAACUGAAACUUAAGAUGUUGAGUUGCUGUCCCGAAGACAGUCUAGGAGACUUUGGAGGGUCUAUCCGAAGAGCAGCAGCAGGCGUGUCAGUCGCCAGGUCACUAGGAUAGCUACCGUACGGCAUCGGUUGACGGGUAUUGCCCCGCCAUGUACGAGCUGUGUAGCAUAAACUUGAAACCUAGCAUCGCGCAUCGUCUAUGCCAAGUUAAAUAUAAUUAUCCUUCUUGGAGGUGUCCGCAGCAGCUUGUAAAUGAGCAGGUCAGGCCAGCAUCUUGUAUGCAAUAAUUUGCAGUUUUUGCGGUCAG